UGCUCCCUCCCCCACCCAGUCCUUCCUGCUCCCUCCCUCUAUUCUUCCACUUCACUUCCCCCUCAAUCACUCGCCACCCACCUCCUUCCUGCUCUGCUCUCCUUCCACACCACAUUCCCGUGAGUCUCUCACCGCAGAAGACUGAGUAGAUCUAGGAGGGCGCGAUGGGUUGAGGAGCACUCCCUCGGUGUGGAUGAUUUGCUUGCUUAGUUGAGCAGCGAUUCCUCACCUCCAUCUGGCAGCAAGCAGUAACUUAUAGAGGUAAAUCUGAUUCCUUUCGGUGUGAUUCGUACUGGAGUUUAUUCUACUGGCACUUGAUUCUUCUGUUCGUCCUGCUCAAUAUCUCAUCCUGGUGGAAUUGUUGUCCUGUUUGGGUGCCCUACCAGAUCGUUGGUAGCCAAGCUGCAACUUGUAAAAGCGAUUUUGAUUUCCUUCAGCAGUGUAUUUAGUAUUUGCACGGCAUUGAUGACGGCAGAUGCACUAACCAGUGAACUCCUUUUGAUUCAUGGACGCAGGUGCGGUACUGAGAGAUCUNNN
rnacentral:lncRNA from 1 species